GGGCCCUUGACUGACUCACAGUCUGCGUAGUUGUGAGCCAGCAGGCCUGUCCCGAGUGCUGUAAUGCUAAUACUCUAAUCUGCAGCCAUUAGAGAGCAGCAGGGCCGGCCAGAGCAGGUGGACGGACAGACUGCGGCCGCGGUUAAACAGCCACAUCAUGGCAGUAAUGAGGAAGCUAAAAAGCCAUUUACCUGCAGCGCCCAGGUGGCAGCGAACCUGUUUACCGCGGGAACGCAAGCUGGAAUCAGCAACUGGAAAACAAAAUCAAGCCGUGUCCUGCUGUCCUGUAUCUGAUCGGCCUGUUUGGUCACGGAUGAGUGAGCUGCCCGCUCUUCUGCACUUUCUGGUUGCCGGUUGUUUUUGAUGCCCUCGGGGCGCCAUAGCAGUGAGACAAUAUAAACUAAGAGGACAGGAGAAAAUCAAGUCCUUUUGCAUGCUUUAGAAGUGUUUUUAUGCAUGAUGUGAGGCAGCAGCAGCAAAUACAGUACAUCAAUGUUAAAUUAAUAAGAAUCAGUAUUUUUCUAACAAGUAAUAUAGUUGACUAUUUCUCAUGAUCUGUCUGUGAGAUACAAUUGAUACAAUUGUAGCAGUUGUUCACUGCAUUUCACCGUUCUAUAUGAUUCUCUUUGCCCACAUACAGCAAUAUAUUUAAUAAUACAUGUAUUGGAAACUGUGCCAGAAAUUCUUGUUCACAAAUUCUGAUUCAUGUAUUUAUAAUAGUUCAUCUUGCACAUGACGUGAUGCAUUCCGCAAGACUUUCCCCGUUGGCAAUUUGAAUUUGGUCCAAAUAAAAGACGUCUUAUUUUCA
ensembl:lncRNA